UGGUCAUGCCAGGCACACACUGCUGCCCAAA
rnacentral:piRNA from 1 species